UGGAUUCGCUAGUAAUCGCGCAUCAGCCAUGGCGCGGUGAAUACGUUCCCGGGCCUUGUACACACCGCCCGUCACACCAUGAGAGUUGGAGAUACCCGAAGCCUGUGAGCUAACUUUUAGAGGCAGCAGUCGAAGGUAGAAUCAAUGAUUGGGGUGAAGUCGUAACAAGGUACC
rnacentral:rRNA from 1 species